AGUGAACGCUGGCGGUAGGCCUAACACAUGCAAGUCGAACGGCAGCACAGUAAGAGCUUGCUCUUACGGGUGGCGAGUGGCGGACGGGUGAGGAAUACAUCGGAAUCUACUUUUUCGUGGGGGAUAACGUAGGGAAACUUACGCUAAUACCGCAUACGACCUACGGGUGAAAGCAGGGGAUCUUCGGACUUUGCGCGAUUGAAUGAGCCGAUGUCGGAUUAGCUAGUUGGCGGGGUAAAGGCCCACCAAGGCGACGAUCCGUAGCUGAUCUGAGAGGAUGAUCAGCCACACUGGAACUGAGACACGGUCCAGACUCCUACGGGAGGCAGCAGUGGGGAAUAUUGGACAAUGGGCGCAAGCCUGAUCCAGCCAUGCCGCGUGGGUGAAGAAGGCCUUCGGGUUGUAAAGCCCUUUUGUUGGGAAAGAAAAUCAGCAGGUUAAUACCCCGCUGUUCUGACGGUACCCAAAGAAUAAGCACCGGCUAACUUCGUG
rnacentral:rRNA from 1 species